rnacentral:rRNA from 1 species
CCUGGCGGUCGCGGGAAUUCGAUUGAGUUUGAUCCUGGCUCAAGAUGAACGCUGGCGGCGUGCCUAAUACAUGCAAGUCGAGCGAACCACUUCGGUGGGAAGCGGCGAACGGGUGAGUAACACGUAGGUGAUCUGCCCAUCAGACGGGGACAACGAUUGGAAACGAUCGCUAAUACCGGAUAGGACGAAAGUUUAAAGAUGCUCCUGGCAUCACUGAUGGAUGAGCCUGCGGCGCAUUAGCUAGUUGGUGGGGUAAAGGCCUACCAAGGCGACGAUGCGUAGCCGACCUGAGAGGGUGAACGGCCACACUGGGACUGAGACACGGCCCAGACUCCUACGGGAGGCAGCAGUAGGGAAUCUUCGGCAAUGGGCGAAAGCCUGACCGAGCAACGCCGCGUGAAUGAAGAAGGCCUUCGGGUUGUAAAAUUCUGUUAUAAGGGAAGAAAGGUGAUAGGAGGAAAUGACUAUCAAUUGACGGUACCUUAUGAGAAAGCCACGGCUAACUACGUGCCAGCAGCCGCGGUAAUACGUAGGUGGCAAGCGUUAUCCGGAAUUAUUGGGCGUAAAGAGCGCGCAAGUGGUUAAUUAAGUCUGAUGUGAAAGCCCACGGCUUAACCGUGGAG